GCCGCGUGAGUGAUGAAGGCCUUAGGGUUGUAAAGCUCUUUUACCAGGGAUGAUAAUGACAGUACCUGGAGAAUAAGCUCCGGCUAACUCCGUGCCAGCAGCCGCGGUAAUAAUCGAAUUCCCGCGGCC
rnacentral:rRNA from 1 species